rnacentral:rRNA from 1 species
UACGGAGGGUGCGAGCGUUGUCCGGAAUUACUGGGCGUAAAGGGCGCGUAGGCGGCCUGCUAAGUCGGAUGUGAAAUCCCUCGGCUCAACCGAGGAACUGCAUCCGAUACUGGCGGGCUUGAAUCCGGGAGAGGGAUGUGGAAUUCCAGGUGUAGCGGUGAAAUGCGUAGAUAUCUGGAGGAACACCGGUGGCGAAGGCGGCAUCCUGGACCGGUAUUGACGCUGAGGCGCGAAAGCUAGGGGAGCAAACGGG